rnacentral:rRNA from 1 species
CCUACGGGGGGCUGCAGUGGGGAAUAUUGGACAAUGGGGGCAACCCUGAUCCAGCCAUGCCGCGUGUGUGAAGAAGGCCCUCGGGUUGUAAAGCACUUUCAGUGAGGAAGAACGCCUGGUGGUUAAUACCCAUCAGGAAAGACAUCACUCACAGAAGAAGCACCGGCUAACUCCGUGCCAGCAGCCGCGGUAAUACGGAGGGUGCGAGCGUUAAUCGGAAUUACUGGGCGUAAAGCGCGCGUAGGUGGCUUGAUAAGCCGGUUGUGAAAGCCCCGGGCUCAACCUGGGAACGGCAUCCGGAUCUGUCAAGCUAGAGUGCAGGAGAGGAAGGUAGAAUUCCCGGUGUAGCGGUGAAAUGCGUAGAGAUCGGGAGGAAUACCAGUGGCGAAGGCGGCCUUCUGGACUGACACUGACACUGAGGUGCGAAAGCGUGGGUAGCAAACAGGAUUAGAUACCCCAGUAGUC